rnacentral:rRNA from 1 species
AGCGAACGCUGGCGGCAGGCCUAACACAUGCAAGUCGAACGAACUCUUCGGAGUUAGUGGCGGACGGGUGAGUAACACGUGGGAACGUGCCUUUAGGUUCGGAAUAACUCAGGGAAACUUGUGCUAAUACCGAAUGUGCCCUUCGGGGGAAAGUUUUAUCGCCUUUAGAGCGGCCCGCGUCUGAUUAGCUAGUUGGUGAGGUAAAGGCUCACCAAGGCGACGAUCAGUAGCUGGUCUGAGAGGAUGAUCAGCCACAUUGGGACUGAGACACGGCCCAAACUCCUACGGGAGGCAGCAGUGGGGAAUCUUGCGCAAUGGGCGAAAGCCUGACGCAGCCAUGCCGCGUGAAUGAUGAAGGUCUUAGGAUUGUAAAAUUCUUUCACCGGGGACGAUAAUGACGGUACCCGGAGAAGAAGCCCCGGCUAACUUCGUGCCAGCCGCCGCAGUAAGAC